AGAAUGUUGGUCAAGUUAAAUCCUCUGUAGACGACUUAACUAAGGAACGUGGUACUGUAAGCAUGAGAGUAGCCCUUGUGCUACGAUCUGCUGAGGUUCAGCCUCUGUUCCGGCG
rnacentral:rRNA from 14 species